rnacentral:rRNA from 1 species
CAGCCGCCGCGGGAAUACGAAGGGUGCAAGCGUUAAUCGGAAUUACUGGGCGUAAAGCGUGCGUAGGCGGUUUGUUAAGUCUGUUGUGAAAUCCCCGGGCUCAACCUGGGAAUGGCAGUGGAUACUGGCAAGCUAGAGUGUGUCAGAGGAUGGUGGAAUUCCCGGUGUAGCGGUGAAAUGCGUAGAGAUCGGGAGGAACAUCAGUGGCGAAGGCGGCCAUCUGGGACAACACUGACGCUGAGGCACGAAAGCGUGGGGAGCAAACAGGAUUAGAUACCCCCGUAGUCCCUGUCUCUAUACA